UAACAGUGUCUAUUGGAGACGAGAUUAUAACUAUCGACCCGACCGCGACUGACUCACAUUUCAAAGCGACCGGAUUCAAGAUCAAAAUCACGGUGGUCUAAAUGAUCUAGCACCUUAUACGUACGUAUAUGAUUUAAACUAUGGUAUAAACGCAAGUGCGGUUGCGAUCGUUCCCUCGGGCCGUACUACCGUAUUACGCGAAAGAGCGACAAUAAUAAUAUUAUCAUCAUAUAAUAAGCCGGCGGCGGUAGUGGAGGCGUAAAGUCAAUAUGAUUAUAAGAAAUGACAUUAAGAGCUGCACAUUGGCAAUUUGAAUGUAAUUUUCAAGACUUAAAUACAAUUUCGAUGGGCUGGCGAAUAUAUUAUAGUUCAGUUUUAUUAAAAUAAUUAUAUUAUUGUUAUACAAUUUAUAAGACUACCUGGUGUAUGGAAAAAUUUAGAUUUUCCAAAGUUUAUAAGCAUUUGUAAUUUCGGAGACCAAAAUCUGCGACGUUUAUUCUAAAUGAAGAUAUUUGGAGUUUUAAAUUCAGAUUUCCAGUUUUAAUGUGGUGUAUAAGUAUGAGUGGGAGGGCGUGUAGGAUGGUUACUUCCUUGAAGCCCAAUAAAUGUAUUUUUUUUUUUUUGAGAAUAUUGUAAGGAUUGCUAUAAAUGUCUAUACCAAUGGUUCUCAAUCUUUAAGACCACGACCCAAAUUUUCCCUGAAAAUCUAUCGCGACUCACAUGGUUUCGCUUUUCAAAAAGUAGUUAUAAAGAUACAACAUUUGUUUGUUACUUUUAUUAUUUAUUACUUUAUAGGUUUAUAAUUAAUAUUGUAUAAUUUUACAAAUGCAUUUUUAAUAAUUAAGUGUAGGGCGAAAUGUUUGCUUGAAAAGUUGUAAAAAAAAAAAAAAAAAAAAUAAACAUUGGAAAAUCAAUACGUUCCUCGCUCGACUCAGAAUCUAAAAACAUACAUUUUUUUGAAAUCUAUAAAAUUAAAACAAUUUUUACGACUCAAAAUAGACUCGAAACUCACCAGUGAGUUACGUACCACAGUUUGAGAAACGCUGGUUUACACAAUCGUAUAACAUGUAUUGAAGUGGAAGUAAAUAAAUAUUUCUAUAGGUAUUAGAUGUGUUAGGUAUAUAAUUGAAAUCAUUAAUAUAUUAAAUAGUGCAAUUUUUUAAGAAGUACAAUAUUUUAUUAUUAAUUUUUUUAAUUCUAAUUUUUUAUUUUAUCUAUCAGAAACAUCACAUCACUGAGUUUCAAAACUUUAAUUUUGAAAUCUUUUGCGCUAGUUUUACAAAUUAAAUAAAUUAUACAACCUAGAAUAUAUUUAUUAUUAUUAUAUAAUAUAUUUUAAAACUAAGUAAAUAUAUUGAUACAGGUAUAUUAAAAACAUAUAAUUGGGUAAAAUCCCGGUGGUCCACCCCCCUGGUUUUUUCUAGUUGUAGUCAAAAUCGAAAAAUAUGUACUAAUUGAGGUCAACCAACAAAAAAUAUACCUACUUAUUGCUAUUACUGAAUUAUUGGUCUACAUACUAAAUGCGAAAUAAUAUUACUUUUUUUUUUAUUAUUAUAGUAUAUUAAAUUUAUGUUAUUUUAUGUAAAACAAUUUUUUAAUCAAAAUUUCCUUUUCAUUGAUAUGUAAAUAUAACAGACUUAGAUUGUCAAAACUUUUAUUUAUUGGUAAGCAUGUACAAAAAUGUUUAUUUUUUUUGGAAAAAUUAUUAAAAAUGUAAAAUGUAAAUUUAUUUAAAGUAUAUUUUCAUAAAUAUUAUAAAAAAGAGAAAUUUGUUUGUAUGUAGGGUGUAAUAUUCAGAAUUACUGAACUGAUUAUAAAAAUUUCAUCUGUAGAUUUCAUAUAUUACCGCAGUGGUUAUAGGUUAAGUAGUUUUUACUUUUUAGAUUCUGAGCGAAGUGAGGAAUAUUUUAGUUUUACAAUGAAGUUUUUUUUACAACUUUUCUAUCAGAAUUUUUUGACUUUUCAGGAAUUUUGAUAAUAAACGGAAUAAUAAACGGAAAAAUAAAUGAAAAUAUGUACAAACUGCGUUAUUUUAAAAAAUCGUAAUUAUUACAGCCUUUCAAAACAUGUUCAAUCGAACUCCACUCUGAAUCGUAUUUCGUUAGCAAUGAUUAAUCUUUGUAUACAGAUAUACAUAUACAUAUACUUCUCUUCUACCUUCUAACUUCUCACUUACAAUAGUGUCCCAUUCAUUUUACGAAAUAUGUCCGUUUGUUUUUAAAUUUUAAUUCACUAUUUAAAAAUGUUGAAAAUUAACGUCCAAUACUGUGUAUCCGUUAUUGUUGAUUUAAGAGUUACCUAGGUAACAUAAUGAAAAAUUAUUAUUAUUAGGUUUUCUUAUUUUUACUGGUAGAAAGCUACACUAAUCCUGGGUAGCAUAGGCUAUGUCCACGAAUUCAAAUCUUAAAGGGAGUUGACACGGGAUUAUUGGUACAGAAAUCGAAUAAUUUAUGUUGAUUUAUGGGUUACCUUGGUUACACAGAGAAAAACAUCUAUUAAUAUUUAGUUUUGUUACUAUAAAAUAAUAAUGUGACGACAAACUGUUAUAAAUAUUAGAUAUACACAUAAAUAGUGAUAAUAAUUUAAUUUAUGUCAUAAUAAUAGUAGGGGUAUUUAUUUUGUCACGGGCAAGACAGUGCGGGACAUCGAGUAGGUAUUUAAUAAUUUAAAUUCUGUGGGUACAAAUUUAAAAGAAAUUGACUUCACAUAUUCAUAUUUCACACUAUAAAUAUGUAGUGGUGUUCUUACAUAAAUGAUCUGUGUACAUUAUAUUUUUAAAUGUGUUUAUCGAAUAAUUUGGAUAUUUUUAACAAGUUAUAGCAACUUGGAUAUACACUAUAAAUGAGGUAACCACAACUCGGAUACACACUAUAAAUAGGAUGACCGCAACUGUUAUAUUUACUUAUAUUAAAAAUCGCCUACGACCGCAACUCGUAUGCAGCCCGGUGGUCUUUUCACUUGUGGUAUGCUUUGUAGCACGCUCUUAACAACGGUUCCUCUUAACGCCAUAAAUGACCAUUGAUCAGCUCACCAGGGUUGCUUUAUCGUUAUGUCAAAAAGGGCGUAAUUUCAAAUUUUUUCAUGGGAUGUAAAAUAUAUUUUACUAAAAAUUAAAAUCAACUUGAAAUUUGCUCUCGUAGUAUAUUAAGCAUAAAAUCAAUAAUUUUUAUACUUAACUCUAUUUUUCAACUAUCACAUAUUCAAAUAUCUAAUACAAUUAAAAAACGUACUUUAAAUUAAUUUAAUAUUGAUUAUUUACUUGAUAUUAACCACAAAAUAUUAAAAUAUUAUCAGAACAAACAAUAUAUUAUGUAUAGUAUAAUAAAUAUAAUAAGUUAAAACAAAAUUAUAUAGGUAGUAACAACUGAACAAUACCUUUAAGUAUUUUAAAUAAACAUAAUUUUAUUACGUGUAUUAUAAUAUGCAUAAAUAUGUGUAAGCGUACAUUUUAAAGUACAUUAAUGAAAAUCGUCUACACUUUAAUUUAACAAAUUUAUCUUUAUUUUAGAGUUGGUACUAUGAUACAAAUAUUAUAUUAUUUAUUACGGAUUUUAUUUCUUCUGAUACCGUUAAAAUUAUAAGUGAUGACAAAACAUUUUUUAAACAUCACAAAAUUAUAGUUUUAGAAAAUAAACUAUAUAAAAUUAACUAUAUCUACACAUUUUUGGUGGGCUAAAAAAAUACAUUGGAUAUAUUUGUAUACCCUUACAUCCCGCAAAUGACGACCCUGCGUGUUUUCCUUAAGAUCAUAAUAUUUAAGCUUCGAUACAUUUUUACUGAUUUUUUUUUUUCAAUUUCUAUAUGCCCCUGUAUUUACAUAGACCAUAUUGUAUUUUCCUAAGUAGCGUUAUUUAAAAUACAACUAUAAUGAAUUCUUAACAGAUUUACGUAGCGUGGUCCAUAUUUCUGACUCAUAUAAGUUACAACUGUUUUUUUUUAUAUAAGCAUUGUUUAAAUUUUCAGUUUUAUAGAAAGAACUCUGGGACGUAAGAGCUUUGUUAAAAUAUCCCAAUAAUAAUAAUAAUUUAAUUUAAAAAAAAAAAAUUGAAUAACAGUAGUGAUAAUUAGUUAUAUUGUUUCUAUUAGUUUACACAAUUUUGUAUCGUAGUACUCGGUCCCGCAAAAUCUCUGAAUCCGACGAACUUUAUUGUUUUUAAAUAACUUUUAGGGAAAUAAAUGAGAUGUCCGUAAAAUAAUAAAAAAAACACAUACGUUAUAUAAAACUAAGUAUGAAACGCAAUAACGAAAAAUCCGCCCAGCCGAUCGAUCACUUUAUUAUAAAAGUUACGCAGGCGACUGCCGAAAAAAAUAAAUUUCAUUCUAACUAAACUAACUCAAAAUAAAAUAAAACGUUUAUUUUAUGUACCUUUAAUAUUAUUAUGUUAUUAUACUAUUCUCGUAUGACUUUGUUAUAUAGUCAGUAAGAAUAAAACCAAGAACGUAAAAUGUACCUUUAAUACUACAAUGUUCAUGUAAUUUUCAAGGUUUUUCAUUUGAGCUUUAAUUUAUAUUCAGUGAACUUUUGCGCUAUAUUUUUCUUUUUUGAUGUUGUUAAAAAGGAAGUGUAAUUUUACAGUAGAUGGACUGUACUGGAUGAGACUGGGUAGAUACGUCAGCUAGAGUGAGAGCAGUUUUGAACAUUCAAAACUUUGUGUCGAAAAAUCGUUUUAUCACAAAGUAAGUAUUAUGUAGCGUAAAAUAGCCUAUUAUGAAUUAAAGAACAUGUUUGUUUAGUUGAAUAUUAACAAAAAGUAUAUUUGUAAAAAAAGUUAACGGGAUUUUGUUUAAUUGUAAAAAAAAAUACCACAUAAUCUUGAAUUUUUACUGUCGCAUUUCUAGUAAAUUGAAAAUUAAUAAUAAAGCAUUAAGUAUCUUAAAUAUAAUUUUAUUUUUACAACGAGUGAAAAUACUAAACUUCCUUUGAAAGGGUACUUUUUUGUUCGAUACGUGAAAAUGUUUUUGAACAAAUUUCACAAAUACUUACACAAUAUACACUUGUGAUAAGGGUCCGGGGCCAUUUUUAAAUCUAUAUGUAAUUAUUAAUUUGAAUAGACUGCGGGUCUUUAAUUUGCUGAUUUGAGUUUAUUUUUAUUUUAGUUCCAAGUGUAGGUAAAUCUUUAUAAUUUGUCUGUGUUUAUUAUCUCAUUUAUAUUUUUCUAAAUAAUUAUGUGAAAGUAUCAGUGAUGAUUGUAACACAACGCGAGGCCCUGUACGAGUGCACAGCUUGUACUGCCUUCAAGCCUUCAAGCCUUUUGUUUAUACAGAACUUCUUAUUAAUAUAAGAAUCCAUAAUUUAAUAUUGGUAUUAUAUGAUCUCUAAAAAAAAUUGUCCGUAAUUUUUAAAAUCAAAAUAUUCUUUUGACAAUAUUAUAAUAUUAUUACAGAUUACUGAACUAGUAUAGAGUUUGUUUUUGAUAAAAUUUAGUUAUAAGUGCAGGUGGAAUAGCGAAAGUGUGGAAGAAACUGCAGUAUACAUAUAUUUUACUACACUACUAUUUUAAUGUUAAAUUAUACUACAUUAUUCCGAUCCAAUAAACAUUAAACGCUUAAAAAUAAUAAAAAAACUAUUAUAACAUAGAGUUUAAUAAUUGAUACAUAUUUUAGAAAAAUAGUACAUUUUAAUAAGUACGGAAUAUAAAAUUAAUAACAAAAACAAUAACCUUUAUACAUCACGUAUAUAAUAUAGUGAAAGAACUACCUAAUACUUACCACAAAACCAACAAAAAUUCAGCUACUAUACAGUGAGAUAAAAGUAAAUUUGUUUACAAAAGUGUUUUAUUAUACGUUUAUAAUAUUAUAUAUAUAUAAGUAGAAAAUAUAAUAGUGUAGUAUAACAUAUUUAACGGAAAUCUGUGCUUAUAAUAUAAUAUUUAGCAAGAUAUUCUUUAUAUUUUAAAGAGAAUAAUAUUAACUAUAUUUAUUUUCAAUAUUUUGCCCCAAUAAUAUUAUAAUAUUUCAACCAAGGGCUUCAAAUACUAAAGAAAAAAAAAGGCAUAUAUUUAUAAUGAAUGUGCCAUUGUUGUGAAUGGAAAGUUGGAAAUGUAGGACAUAUUUUGUAUUCCACAGUUAUUCAAUUUUUAUCUGUUCACAACGAUAUAAAUCAUUGCUAACGAAAAACGAUUUGAUUAAAGUAUUAAUAAGUUAUAUUUUUACCAAAGCAAUCCAGAAGUAAACAUAAAUUAUACCAAAAAUCACCAAUUUUUCAGAUUUAUUAAGAAAAAUUCAAGGAAAAUCAAAAAGUAAUUUUCAUUUUAGGCAUCUUAUGCUAAAUCGUACUUUUUUUAGGCUAAAAUUAUUUUUCAACACUGGAUUUGUAUAUGUUCAUAAAUGCUUUGCCUACCAGAGAAGAAUGCUGGAGACGAUAUUAUUUCUUCUAUUCGAAUAUGUGUACUAUUUUCUUCAAAUAUAGUGUCAUGUAGUAUAAUAUAACAAACUUAUAUAAUAACUUUUGGUAUUUUAAAAUGAAAACUAUAUAACGUCUCUGAAAAAACCAAAUAAUAUACGUCUACAGGAGACAUUCCACGCGGGAAUGGAUUAAUAAUGAAAAACCGCUAUUCCAUUAUUAGGCGAAUUAAAUAAAUAAAAUAUCUAAAGCAUUUUUGGAAUUUUCAGUAUAGUUUAGGUACGUCAUCAGAACUAAAAUUAAGCUGAUAUAAUAAAAUUAUUAAAUUAAAUGGUUUUUAGGAUUUUAUGAAAGUAUUUAAAGUCUAAGUAUUUAUAUACAAUUAUGAGGUCUAAUUCUUAAUAUUACGAGUAUACACGUUUUAUAAAAAUUGUAUGUUUCGGAAUGACCAGUGUUAACUGUUAAUCUAUAUGUAUUGAUAUCGGGUCAUAAAAUAAAAAUUAUAGUUGUUUGCAUGCCGCUAUAGAUAGUUUAAAAAAUAAAAACCAAAUACCGUAUAAUAUUAUGGAUAUCCCAUGGGCAAAAUAUAGAAAAGGUUAAGUUAGGUAACAAAUAUAACAAAGAACAACAGAUAAUAACGUUUGGAGAUAAGAAUAUUUUAGAGAUCAUCAAAACUAGAAAACUAUCUUUUCUUUAAAUGGGUAUUCAAAUCAGUUGUUUUUCAGAUAAUGAUAUCACAAUAUUCUAGUUUACUUUAUUUGACUAGAUAAUAUUAUUAUUCUCCGAAUAUUUUUACCAGAUAUUUUUCAUAUAGACGUAUGUGUAUAUACUGGAACAGUCGAUGUGUGUGGCUUAUUAUAGUAAAGUUGCGUUGUAGUUAUAUUAUUAUUGCUUUUUCUAUACCGUCAAAUGUCCCACUCAGCUGCGGCUUUUACUAUUUUUAUAUACACUCAACUCGCGAAAUGUUCAACUUGACAUUCAUUUCUCAGAAAAGUUUACCGCAUAAUGGUAUAAUAAUGUUAUUAUUAUAACAAAAAACUCACCGUGUUUUAUAAUAAUAAUAAAAUUGUUAGCUUUUGAUAGCUGAAUCUAUACACUUACCCAGUGGUGUUAUUGAUAAGUAUUUAUUUUAGGUAUACAAACUAUUCUAUUGUAUAGCAAAAAAAAAAAACUUUUUUCGCACCAAUCCAGUAUUUUACGUUUUUAUUUUCACUAGUUUUAAUGGUACAAAAUAAAUACCGGUGGUAUGAAUAAAACAUUUUUAAAAAUGAUUUCAUAAAACUGUAAAGUGAAUUCAUAAAAAAGAAAUUAUAGAACAGUCUAGCAAUUAAAUAAACAUGACAGAAUCCCAGAAAGCAUUUUAUAUUAAAUCAAAUUAUUAAAGCUCAUGCUACUUUUCUGUUAUUUUCACCACAAUAUCAUCAAACUUGAUUUCUAGAAAAAAUAAUUCACUGUGCCAGAUGAACUUAUCAAUCAAAAACAAAAAAUUUAUCUCUUUGGUUUAGUAAAUAUAAUAAUUCAUUUUUAUAAGAAAUUGUGCCGAACCACAUAAUAGCACGCACUCAAUUUUUAUAUCGCUGAUACGAACAAAAAUAUUCAAUGAUUCUUCUUCUAGUCCUUUGUUUUCAUGUCAACUAUUUGACGUCAAUCAUCCUUGUUCUAAACUUCCACUUCACUCGAUCUCUAACCUUGCAUUUGGGAAAAACUAAAAACUAAAAUAAAAUUGAUAAUUAUAUGGUGUUAAGAUUUUGCUAUUUUAAAUUAUUACAAACUAUGUUUUCAGAAAUCUUAUUACCACCAAUAAUGUUCUUUUGAUUUAAGUAAGGUAUUUUGUAGUAAAAAUACCUUUUUUGUAGAAUUUUUUAUCCUGUUUAUGAGCCGGUUUUGAUUUUUCAAACAGUUUUAAUAAUAAUUAGGAAAAAUCAGUAAAGUCGUAGAAAAAACGGGAGAGUUUACGAAAAUAAUGGUUUAAUUAUUUUCAAUUUGACUUUUUUGUUGUAAUUCAGUUAAGAAUUUUUGUAGAGACUGACAUUUUAAGAAAAAAUGUAUGCUGGAAAAUUCUAAACGUCGUAAGAUUUUCAUAAUAUUUUGAAUAGUGCUUUUUUAACACUUUAAUGAAGGUUUAUUACGAUUUUAAUGGUUUUUAUAAUGGUUUUAGGAUGCUUUAAGUUCCCAAAUCCGGUAAUCAUAAUUAUACAAUUCCCUUGGUAGGAUUUUAAUAAUAUAUAAUCUGUUAACGUACGUCAUACGUAGCAUGAUAAGUUUCGGUAUGUUUUUCGUUUUUUUAUCUAGCUAGGUGUAGUUUUAAAAUAAACAUUUUCCAUUCUGCGGUUGCGGUCGUAUACCGUUUGUAUUCCCAUAAAUCCACUUCUAAGUUCACCUCGACCGGGCCGUACAAAAUAUUCAACGCGGCGGUCAUAUUAAGUGACUUUAAUAAUCGUCCACUUUACAUGGACUUUACUAUUAUAUGACGUGUUAAGUUUGACAAAUCGUUGUGCCCGCAUGUUAUAUAAUGUACAGAACAAUGACUGAGUUUACUCUAUGUACAUUGUACUUGGAAAUAAAUUAUACCGGAGCUAUAAUUAUAAUUUUUGUAAAAUGUAAUAAACUAUUUUAUUAUACUUCACAAAGAUUUUUAAAAUAAUAUUAAGAUUAAAAUAUAAAUAAAAUACAUCUUGUUCAGUGGGUUUUUUUUUAGGGGGACGAUUUAUGUGGUCUAUAAAACCCUUAAUGGUUAUGUUCCAUACAAAACAAUCCUCAAACUGUUCAUUGCCAACAUUUUCCAAUCUGGUUCAGCUCAUUCAUUAACUCCUCCAAAAGCCUUUUUUAUAUUGGAUUCCAUUCCGGUCUGCCUAUAUUAGUGGGUUUUGAUUUCCUCGUGCAUUUAUAGCCCAGUCUUAAUUUUUUAAUGAUAUCUGAAAUAAUUUGUUUAUGUUUUUUCUUCUAUUUUUUUGUCCUUCAUCGUUACACAUUGACGUUAUUGUCUGGUUCAAAGAAUUUCUGUUUAUUAUAUAAAUAUUGUAUAUUUUGUCCAUAUGACAUUGAUAAUAUUAUGUCAUCUGUUUUUAUUUUGUAAACUAUAUAUUUUAACUCAAAUCAUAGUAAAAUUAAUACAUUUCUCGCUACUAUUUAGAGUCUGUAUAAUAUCAACAUAAUAAAGUUUUUUUCUUUUGAUUGUUUGAUUCGUUUGAACGAAAAGAGCUGUGUCAAUCACAGCGUAAGUAUUAAAUUUUUAGAUUUUUCAGAACAUAAUGUAUCAUGUUAUUAUUUAUAUGUAUAUUUGUUUUGUAUUGAUUUUGUGUGUGCAUAGAAAUGAUAAUAUUUCUAAAAUUCUAGAAUUUAAUAGACCGGGCUAAUUUAUGCGUAUGUCACUAUUCUAGAAAGGAAAUUGUAAAGGUAUAUAAAGUAUUUAGUUUAAUCUGUUAGCAGCGAUAAACCAUUGCUAAUGGAAAACAAUUCUGAGCAAAUUAUAACAAUAUUAGUCAUAUUUUCCCUUUGUUACCAAUAAAGGCAGAUAAUCUAAAAAUCAACAAGAAUUAUACCAAUUUUAAGUAGUGUUUUCGAUUUAUCAAAAUAACUACUAGAAAAAUCAAAAAUUAAUUUUCUCAAUGCACCAACAAGAUUAAAAAUGUCAUAAGAAAGUUCCUAUAGAAUUUUUUGAUUCAUGCCAUAUUUUAUGGCAGAAAACUUAUUUACAGACACAAAAUAAAUGUAACAUAGUAAAACAAAUGUUUUCCUUGCUUCACCCAGAAUAUAAAAUUUCGGUUGUCAGAGUUCGCCGGAAAAAAAAAAAUUGACUUGUUUUUAAAAUAAUAAGGACAAAGUAAAAACAAAAUUUCUUAAACCAUGUAAGAAUUAGUAUUGCAUUCGUAUGACGGAUAUCAUCGUAAGGUUAAAGGAGAAGUUACAAAGUUACUUAAUUACGAAUGAAUUAAACACUGCAGGAUCCCUGUAAGUAUCCCUAUAAUAAUAUAUUAGUUAAAAAUUUAAUUUACUAUGUUUAACUUACGUACAUAAUAAUCAAGAAAAAAUUUAAAUUUUCGUUAAAUAUCCAGUAAAUUAAAUACUGGUAUAUUAUAAAUUUAUUUUUUCGAUUCAAUUUUGUUAUCAAAAAAUAAUGUUAUUUACUUACUUUUUGAUAUAGUUUACUCUUCACCUAUAAACAUUUUUUUUUAAAAAUUAAAAAUCUAUUAUAAUAUUUUAAAUAUACAAGUAUAUUAAUAGGUAGGUACUAGAUCUUCAUAAAAGCAGUAGCGAACAAUUAUUUGUUCUAACUUCAAGAGAGCGACAACUUUUUCAGACAAAAUAGUAAAAAUAGCUGAAACUGUUGAUGGGGUGUUCCAUAAAUCAACAAAAUUAAACGAACUAUUGUUAAUUUUUUCCAUUUAUUAAGAAAAGUAAAAGGAAAAUUAUAUGUUUUACGAACAACUAAAACUUAUAAUAAGUUAUAACACGAUUUAAGCUAACUUAUAUUCGUGUUCGAUUUUCAAAUAUUUUAGAUAGGUCAAAAAAUUAUAUUUACAUAAAACCGACAAAUAAUACGAAGAAUGCCGAGGAAUACGAUUUUUCUAAUAGGUACUAUUUUAUCUUUAAACACACAUUUUAUCUUUACACCACACACGGUGGUGGCUGAACCCGUGUGGUCAAAUGUAAUAAUAAUAUAAAUUAUUUAAACUAGUCAAUUUAUAGGUAUGCAAUUUGCGUCAUCAUUUUUUUUUUAUAAUGUUUUUAUUUUUUAUUAAAGUAUUUAUACAGAGUUUUUCAAUAUAAAAUUUAGUCUGAUAGAUGAGAACCGUCUAGCUUAAGUAAUAAUAUAUUAUGUUGAAUGUGGUGCGCUUAAAACAAUAGCCUGUAUUAUAUCAAGAGAAAAUGUCGAAUAGUAUAGUUUUAAAAAUUGUCUUUAUAUAUGUACACAAAUAAGUGGACAAAAAUCAAGAUUGUAAAAUAAAUAUUACCCAAGCUAAACGAAAUUUAAAAAUAUACAAGUUCUUAUAAUAAUAAUAUUUUAGGUAAAUCAAUGAUGAAGUAAACCGAUAGUAAUAAUAUAACUAUUGAUUACAGUUUUAAAAUUAACAAUCAAAACUAUUUACUAUUUAACCUGUGAUAAAAAAAAAAUCGAGCAAUUUUCGGUGUCUUUGUAAUUUUUACUUUUUAACAAUAUUUUGGUCUGUGAAAAAUAUUAUAUUUAUAUUAGUGACAUAGAUAAAUGGUUAUAUUAUUAAAAUCGUAUACAUAUUUUAAAUUAAAUAAUGCGAAAAUAAAGAGGGAUUCCAAACAUUUUUGUUUUAAAAUAAUACUAUGGACUAAGGUCAGUUACAAGCAUUAUUGGUACAUUUAAAUUAUUUAUUUAAAUAUACAAUUGUGUAUUAUAAAAUUCAUUGAAUUUUAAUGUAAAAACGUUGGAAAAAUAUUGACAUUUUAACUGUUGAAAAAAGUUCAGAAUUUCAAACAAUUAAGUGGAAAAAUGGUGCAUAAGUAAUACUUAGUAUGCAUAGUAGUGCAUAGUAUACUACGUGGAUAUUUACUUGUCGAAAUCGACAGUUUCCAAAGAAAACAAAUAAUGUAACCAUCUAAAAAUGUUUCAAAUUAAGUACCACCUGGAAGAAAAUGCAUACCUUUCAUUUUAUUUUACAUGAAAAAGAGCAUUUUUUAAUCCAAAAACUAUAUAUAGGUACAUAAAAUGGAUUUUUCGUUGUUUUCAGAAAAUAAAAAAAUUACGAAAAAAUUAAUUUUUUUAUAAGUAACAGAAAACAAAUUAUAAAAUUAGGACUAUAUAAUAUUUAAUCCUAAUGUAAACACAUAAAUGUUAGGUUAGUAACUUAGGUAAACUUAACUUAGAUUGUUCUUUAAAUAUAUUUACGGUUAUAAUAUAGAUAUAUAAUUAGAAUUCAAUAAAAAUAAUAUUAGGAAUAUGAAUUUAAGAAACUUUUUAGUCUGUUUUACAAUGCACUUAAAUUCUUUAAAAAGCAGUUUAGAUCUUAUACUUUGGAAAUUAACUACUGAUACGUCGAAAUUAAUGCCCACAGUUAGCCUUACUUUAUCAAAUUGUGACAAAUAAAACGUUGUACUUACAUAUUGAUUACUGACACGUAUAUAGCGUAUAAAACAAAAAUAUAUAAUUUAAGUAUAAUAUAUACAUUCUGUGUAAAUACAAAAAAUAUGUAAUUUAUUUAAAAAUGUAUUAGAAUACCGUAAAAUGAACUAAGAAUGAAAAAAAUGAAAAAUCUUCCCUUUACCUUUAUAUUUUUACCUUAAAAAUUUAAAAUUAAGUACAUAAUACACAAUUCAAAAAUUGUGUCGAAAAAUCUAUUUUGACAAUCAGCUAAACAAAAUAAACCUUCCUACAAUCCUAAUUUACAGCCCUAAAAAUAAUUAUGUCAUACCUAUGCAAUUUAAUGAUAUUAGACUGCUAGAAAUAAGUAAACAGGUAACUUAAAACAAACGAACAUACUUCGAACUACUGUUGUAGAUGAGAAAUUAGAAAGGUAAAGGGAAAAUUGUAUGUACCUAUAUCUGUACGCAGCGAUUCUGAGCGAAGUUUAGCUACACGUAUUUUGAAAGGCAGUAAUAAUUACGAUUUGAAAAUAACGCAUUUUGUAAAUUUUCUCGUUUUUCCCAUUUAAUAUGAAAACUACUGUGAGAAAUAAAAAAUGACUUCCCCAAUGUACUAACACGAGAAAAUUACUUUUCAGAUAAGGUGCUAUAUUCUAUACUUUGAAGCAAGUUUUCUUCAUAUGAUAUGAUCGUUAACCAUGGCAGUUGUUCAUAGAAAAAACAAAUAGAGCUGAUACUGCUGGUCAUGGGAACUAAUACGGCCACUGUUGUAAAUGGGUAAUGGGAAAGGUUGGAUACAUACAAUAUUUUAAUUUAUACCUAUAACCAACGACAAGCUAUUGCUAACGAAAAAUGAUUAGGAGAGAAGUUCAACUAUACAUAUUUUGAAAGAUAGUAAUAUAUUUAUGAUUUUCGUUAAAAUUUGAUUUUAAAAUUCUUGUAAAGAAAAUUCUACGCUACACUUAAUAUUUUUUUUUUGAACACCAAGAAUGACUUUUAAUGAACCUCCUUUUAAGCAUUUCAUUUUAUAAAAUUAAAUUUUUAUUUGGUUCACAUCUACAGAGUACCUACUAAAUAAAAAUUACGUAAAAAUCUCGCAAUGUUUAAAUGUGUAUAAAUAGUAUAAAAUAGCUCAAAUGUUUUGAAAAUUUUACUACGUCUAGAAAAAAUAAACCUAAGUUUUCUGUCGAAAUUUCAAAUCUAUUCGAAUAUUUUUAAGUGAAUAACAACAAGAAAACGAAAUUGAAAAUAAUAAAAAAAAUUAUUUUGUUAAUUUUUCCGUUUUCUCUACGUUUCUUUUGGUUUUGCACGAAUAUUAAAAAAACUAAAGAAAAUUCUAAACACAACUUUUUUGGUCACCAACUAAAUAAACAUUUUAACAAAAAAGUAUCUUGUUUUUUUUUUCCAUUGAAACAAUAUUUUUUGUAAAAAACAUAAGCUGUACAAAUUUAAAAAAUAUAAAAUUAUUGCGCCGUUAUUUGAAAAAAAAAUCGUAUUUUUUGUCUUUUAUAGUUUUUCCCAAUUAUUAUUUAAAAAAUAAUUUAGAUAUCAACGACUCUCCUUGUCAAGGAUUAUAUAUUAAAAUAUAUGUUCUCAAACGUUUCUCAUACAGUGAGUCCUGAGUCAAUAUUUAGAGGGUCACGAAAAUUGUUUUGAAUUAUAUAAAUUCCAAGAAAUAUAUGUUUUUUGAUUCUGAGUGGAGCUAGGAAUGUAUUGGUUUUACAAUGGGGCUUAUUAAUAUUAUCAUAUUAUUAUAUUUUUUUUUAUCUAUGAACAACUUUUUUACCAGCAAUUUUACUCCGAUUUUCAAGUAUAUCAUUUUUUCUGAAAGGGAAUCUGGUUGGAAUGGUACUUCAGAGAGGUUAUUUUUUGAUUUUCACAGUUGUUUUCAUAAAUUAAUUUUUGAAAAGUGAAACCAUGUGGGUCGCAAUCGAUUUUCGGAGGAAAAAUUUGGGCCGUAAUCUUAAAAAGAUUGUGAACCACUGCCAUAUAGUAUUAUACAUGCAGUUAUAUUUGGUUUUUUAAAAAUAAAAAAAUUUUCCAGGUUUAAAUAAAAAUAUAAAUGUACAUUUUUGUUUGUUCCUGCAGGUAUGUUUAACAAUAAUAUUAUUAUAUUUUAACCAAUUACGUAAGUUUCUUUGUUUUAUAUCGUAUAUUAUUAAAGAGGACAUUGUAUUUAUAUUUUUUCUCUAAACAAAAGGCCACGAAUUUAAUAGUAUACCUAUGUAUUCAUAUACAAAUUUUUUAAAAGUUUUUUUAUUUAACAAAAAGCCUUAUAAUAUUUUUAUCUGUAGGACAUAUUAUACUAUAUAAUAAUAUUUUUUUUAAUAUAAAGCUAUGCAUAGAAUUUGUGCGUGUAAAAUUUAAAACUUUAUAUAUACUUACAAAAGCAAAAACAAAAACCAAGUAAUAUUGGAACACACGAAAAUUUAAAAAAAAUAACUAUUAUUUAUCUGGUAUGUACUGCAAUGUGUAUACAUUGUAAAUUUAAUUUAAUACUAUGUAAAACCGGAAAGACAUUCAAAUCGACUUGACGUGAUAUAACUCAAAAUUAACUCGUUAUUAAUUAAGUUAAUGUAAAAUAAUUUUUUUUUGAAUACUUAUCUAAUGGAAUAUCGUUGCGUAGGUAUUUUAUAUUUUUAAUUUUUACAUCAAAUAUUUUUGCAACGUUGAGUUUCUUUUGGAGAAUUAAUUAUGAACAGAUUCGGCUAUUAUAAUGAAAUAUACAAUCAUGUCUGUUUUUGACACAAAAUAAACUUACUAUUUAGAAUGCCUUAAAGACUCUUUAUAGUAAUUAAUAAUGACAUGUAUAAAACAUUAAUUAAUAAACUUUAUCGGAUUUAUCAGUGUUCGUUAUGUCAUCAAUUAUAGAUAGCAUCCAACUGAUUAUAAGUACUUUGGUAAUUUUCCGAGAGUGCAUACUAUGUGGUAAAAUAAAAUAAAUAAAUAACAUGAAUAUAAAAUUGUAGAGCAGCUUGCCUCUUAAGUAUUCUAAAAAAAAAAUUCCGGAAAAAGUAAAUACUUUUUGAGAUAACGAGUGUUUUACGAUAAAUUUACCCUGUAUAUAUAUUGUUGACUAAGCAUCACUAUUAACGUUAAAUUACUUAUAAAAUGACUGCAUCCGCCCUCAUUAUAUUAAGACGUCUUUUUUAAUAUUAAUUUAAAAAUCUUAAAUAUUGAUUAUGUUAAAUCAAUAUUUAUUAAAUUACCAUUGUUUCUACACUAAAAUAACUUCAAUUACAUCGAAAUGCUAUUUUUCAAUCGAAAACCAACAUUAUAUUAAUGAUAAAUAUUACAUUUUUAUAAAUGUAAUAAAAUAAUAGAUUUUGAAUAUUAAAAAAUUUAAUUUUUUGUACCGUUUUUCGUACAUAAUAUUUUUAUUAUACGAAAUAUAAUGUUUAUAGUUAAACAAAUUACUAAUAUUUUCUAGAUAUUAAAAAUUAAUUAUAAUACAGUAUCAUUGCACAAUAUUUGCUGGGUAAUCGGAUUUUGAAAUUGGUGUCGUUUGCGCACGGUCAACUGGGCUGAGUUUCGCGACUCUUAGCCUUCAGAAACGUCACGAGUUUUUUGAUUAUUUAUGGGAUGUGUCGAUCUGAUUGACUGGCACGGACGAAAUGGAAUUGGUCCUGUGUCCACGUCGAUAACGACGACGACCGCGGUGGCGUUAAUAUAAAAGUGAAAUUAUAUAGUGGUGAAGGCCAGAGCGAUGACCGUAAGUUUUAUAGUCGACAACACACACAUGCGUGCAUCAGCUCGUCCUUAAACUCACGCACAAACACAUUUUUAUUUGUUGCCUAUAAAUUAUAUAAGUAUCCGCGUCAUUCGUAGCAACACAAAGGCACACGAUGUAAUUGCAUUUAACAUAUAUCCUGUAGACAAUGUUUAUAAUUUGUCCGUAGGCAGUCACAUAGUCAUCCUAUUGCAGCCGACUGUAAUGUUGAACGUAUUUUUAAUAAAUUAUUUGGCUGGUUUAUAGGUAGGGGUAUAUUAAAAAUCAUUGAUUAAUUUAGUGAUACUAGAUUUAAAUUAUAGCUGUUCCAGGCGGAGAUAGUCAAAUGCGUCACAAAGCCAGAUAAACAAAAAAAAAUAGAGUUUGUCGAUUCUUCCGGGAAAAUUUCGAUUGCGUCCUUUUUGACCUUUUUCACUAUUGUUGAGUUUAGAUUGGGUUCGGUUUUAACAGGUAUGCAUCCGAUUGCGUCCGGCGAUCACCAAUAUUAAAAGGUGUAUGGAAAUAACAUGCUAUGUAAAAAUCCCUAAUAUUUUAGAUUCUGAGCGGAGCAAGAAAUGUAGGUAUUGGGUUUUACAAUGAUGUCUAUUUUUUAUUUUAUUUUUUUAAUUUUCUAUCAGAGAUUAAGCUCCGAUUUUCACGUUUAACACCUUUUUCAAAAGAAAAUUUUACAGGGAUGGUACUUUAAGGAUUUUAUUGUUUUCAUUUACUCAGGAGUUUUCAUAAUAAAUUGAAAAAGGUAGGAAAAACAGAAAAAUUUACAAAAUCUAUUAUCAUCAAAUUGCAAAUAUUAUAGCUUUUAAAAGAUGUAUAACUGAACUUUGCUCUGAAUCGUUUUUCGUUAGUGAAGAUUAAUCGAUGCGUACAGAUUUAGAUUAAAUUCCUCUCUAUAUCCUACCUUUCCAACCUCUUACCUGGUGCAGUGUCCCAUCCAUCGUUCGAAGUAUAUGUCCUUAUCUUUCUCUUUCUGAAAUUAUAUGGGCAUCAAGCCUUCUUUUUUUAAUACAUAAAAACAAUUAUUCUGCCAUUAUUAUAAAUUGUCAAUAAUUUGUCAUUUAUUAUGCCACUGACUGCAUUAUACAUGAUUAUACUCAUCGAAAAGAUUAUCUUCAUCCUCAUUCUUAUCGAUUUGUUUUUAUUAUUUUUCAAAACGAAUUUUAAGUUUUCUUGAGUGUAUACUAUAUUGUAUAUUUUUAAUAACCGGUUUUUCAUUUAUACAUAUAUAAUAAUAUGGAAAUAACUGGAUUAUAAAAGGACUAUCUCUUAAAAAUGGGACAAAAGACUCCUUAUUCGAAGUUUGUCGAGAAAACGGUACAUGCUGAUCAAGAAAGGGAUACUCCUGUUUUAAACGGGGUGAAUGUCGGUAUAAUGAAUAACUAUUCAUUAUUUAUGAUAUAUAUAUUAUAUUAACAUAAUAUAUUGAUCGAAAAUACAAUAUAAUAGAGAAAAAAUUACCGUGAGAUUCAAUUGUAAAAACCAAUUGGCGUUUAUUAUAAAUCUUCAUGCUAAACCGCAGGUUGAAUAUUUGACUGUAUAUAAUAAGUGCAAUAUUUUUAAAACAGUAAAACAUUUUUUUUGAAAAUUGUAUUAUUUUUAAUAACCAGUCGUACCCAUAGAAUUAAUUAGUAAAACAACGCUAAACAAAAAGAAAAAUAUUAGAAAAGCUCCGUUACCUGCCCCCCCCUCCUGAGCACUGUUUCUUAGUGGUUAUUUAAUUUUUUUUUGAUAUUAACUGAAUUGAUGAAUAUAUUAUUGAUUUGACUGUAAUAUGAGCAUAUUUUAAAAAAAAAAUAAUUUAUAUAUAUUUUGUUCUGUCAUUAAUUGCGUGUAAAUAUGUUUUCAACUAGAAGACUUGUUUAAUUCAUCAAUUUCAAAGGUGGUUUGGUUUCUGGUAGAAAAUUAAAUUUAGUUUUUUUUGUUAUUUUCUUUUAAUUUUGUAUUUCUUUUUUUUUUAAUAAUUGGAGAUACCCGAUUAAACAAAUGUCGGCAAAAGUGGAAGCCGCAUUGCUGCGUGCCAGUUAUUGUCAUUUUGUAAGAAAUAAUGGAAUGAAAGAAAUAAUAUUCACCGAAUAUUUAUGAUGUAACACAUAAUUUAUUAUUAUGUUAGUAUUUUUAAUGCUGGUUUUAUUUGAAAAAUAUCUCUUUGAAAUUUUUUUUAAUCUAUAUUCGAUAUAGUUAAUAUUUUGUUUUCGAUACAAUGUCCACAUCAUUUGUAGCUUACUUUUACUGGUAAAACACAAAAAGGUUAAUGUUACAAUUUUUUUAUUGUGAUUAAAGUUAAAAUUUUUCUGAAACUAGUAAAUAUUACAAACUUUCAAUUUUCAAUUUAAAUUGAACAAAAAAAAAAAAAAAAAAUGAAUUGUUUAACUGAUCUCCCUUCAUAAUAAUUGUACAUUAUUUAAUAAUUUAUCGUUACAUUAAAGUUUUAAAUUAUUACGUUAUUCUAAUUUUAUAUUAUAUCUUUUCGAAAUACUAUUUACGCAUCAGUGGUACGAGCUAUUUGAAAUAUUUUUUUUUUUCAUUGGGCGUUAUGAAUUUUAAAACUAAAAUAAAAAUUAUAUAAUUGUAAUUAGGUAUGUCAAAUAUACAGAGUGAUCAAUAUAACGUAAGAUACUCAUUAUCCAGGAAAUUAUUUAUUUUUUUCAGAAUUGGAUUUUUAGACGUUUUAAAACACAAGUAGGGAAUUUUUAAAUAAUACACAAAUGUUAGGGGUACUAAGUAAACAGAAAGUAGUUAAUCAAACAAACAAACUAUAAGAUAAUUAUUUUGCUUGUAUUGAUUCGCAUACAAUAUUUUCUUUAAGUGUUUAUUGGAAUAUUAAGAUAACAAUGCGAUUCUAAAAAAGUUAUUUUUCUCAAAAUUAUUACAAUAUCACUUAAUAAAUUAAUGCACUGUAGUAUUAUUUAUAAGUACAUAUUAUAUAUUCCGUAUACCUAUUUAAAUUAGAAAUUAUGUUGCAUACAGCGGCGACGUAUAUUAGGUUGUAGGACUAUAGUAUAGGGGUAGACGGUAUAGGCUGGUAAAUGAUAGAAGAGCAACGGUGGUAGGAAAACGCAGAAGUUGGUAAUCGGGGGAAACUGUGGCGGCAGCGGUGGCGGUUUAGGGGAAGGUGACUUUCGACAGAUGUGACGUCAGUGCUCUCGAUUUCCAUGGCAACCUCGGCCACUAUAGUACAUAGUACAUACGUGUGUUAUACCUACGCUCCUUAUCCCGCGCCCGUUUCGGUCGGCCGUACGACCGUGUCUCCCCCUCCUCCUCCCCCUUGUUCCUCACGUAUGCCCCCUGACGUUUAUUAUUUAGCCCGCAAACGCUGAUACCGCGCGUUAAAUAUCCACGCUAUUCGUCGAAUCAACAAAAGUGUUUUCGUUUGUCAGACGCGUGUGUAACUAAAUAAUGUUUUUGGCUUGUAUGUAACUGUGUUUAAUAAUAUACCUCACCCUCACCCCUCUACAUGGCAUUAUAUAUUGUGUGUAUAGGUAAUAGAUAUAAAUAUGGAACAUUGCGCGACGGAAUCGUUUCCAUUAUCCAUAUUUUAGAUUCCGAGCGAAGAGAGGAAGCUAUUGGUUUUACUGAGAUAUUUAUUUUUUUUUCUAGACUGUAGACACGUUUUUGUUUAGUAAACUUACUCCGAUUUUUACGUGUAGAAAUUUUUCAGAAAGUUCAAGUUGUCUAGAUAGUAUAUUAAUUAAAGUCAUCUUUUUAUUUUCGACGUCAUUUUUUAAAUAAAAGCACUUAAGUGGGAAAAAAACGUAAGAAAACGAACAAUCGGGAUAUGAAAACUCCCAACAUCAAAGUUGGAAAGGUAUUGGGCAUAAAUAUUCACUGCAGUUUUGGGAUUAUAAUAUUUAUCAGUUAAUAUUACCUGAAAAAGAUAAUUUAGACAAACAAAUUUUUUAAAUAGUUAUUUUUCUCAAUAUUAUGUAGGGUAAUUUAGUUAACAAUAAUGUACUGUGAAUUGUACGCAAAGAUAAAUUAUUGAUAAUGAGAAAUAGGUUUGAGUGGAGUUUUCGGCUAGACAUUUUUUUUUUUUAUUCAAUUUAAUUUUAAAAUUUUGUUAUCGAAACGAAGCUAAAAAAAUUAACUGUGAUGAGCGAUGUUUGUAUCCACUACUCUCUCCCUAUCGAUAUUUAAAAGUGAAAUAUUCAUUACUGCAUACUUUCUAUAUGUCCAAGCUAUUACGAAAUUAAUAUACGAAGAUAUAAAAUAUUAUAAUAAUCAUUGUACUACUUUACUAUAUUGCCUAUAUUGUAUACGUCCUGUAUCGUACCAUUUAUAUUUCAUAUUUUUUUUUCUCAUGUCUGUGAACAACUUUUCAGCAAUUUUGCUCUGAAGUAGCACCUCGUGUAGCACCUUUUUUGAAAGGUGAUUUUCUUUAGUUGGUAAAUUGCAUAGGUUAUUUUUUUGAUAUUUAUGAGGUUUUCAUAAUAAUUGGGAAAACCGGAAAAAAAGUUAUCGAAAAAACGGCAUAUAUUUACGGCAUGCCGCAGUCAAGGCGUUGCUGACUAUAUUAUUUUAAAUUUAUAUACACGAUGUUUUCUAUUAGAAAUAUUAUUCCAAUUAAAAACAAAAAGAUGUUGAUUUUGUUCCUUUUAAUAUAUAUAUAUAUAUAGUUCUAAAAUAUUUUGCAUAACCUAACCAAAAAAGAUGAAGAAUAUGAUUUUUUUUCAAAAUACGACGCUAGGAUUCCUUUAUUUUAAAUUUGUACGGCUUAUAUUUUUUACAAAAAAUAUUACUACAAUAGAAAAAUACGGGUGAGAUUUUUUAUUGCAUUUAUAAUGUAGUUGGUAAGCAAGAAAGUUGUUUUUAUAUUUUUGAUUUUGAUUUUCUCUGCAGUUUUAUUAAUUAUAAUUAUUAAAAUUCAAAAAAAUAACGUAAAAUGAAAAUUGACAAAUUUACGUUGUUACGAUUUCAUUAUUUUUAAUUUAUAUGUUUGCCGUCUUUACUAAGAAAAUUGCUCAAGUAGAAAUACAACAAGAGAUCUUUUUUGUUGAAUUUUGAACCUAAUUGGUGUCGAAGAAAAUUGUUUUUUGAUUUAUCUUGUAGUUUUCUUUAAUAAUUGUGCAAUAAUGAAAAGUAACACAGAAAGAACAUGAAAAUAAUCGAAAGCCCUCCCAAUUUUCGCUAAUGGUUAGUUCCUUAAAAAUUCUUCGAAAUUCCUUGAUACAACCUGAUUUUUAAAGUCUUCUAGAAUGUAUGUGCACUAGAUAUGCAUAUUAUAUUAUACUAUAUAUAUAUAUAUAAUUUACAAUACAACUAAUUAAUUAAUUAUAAUAUUUAGUAAUUUAUUACUAAUUUAUAUCUGUGCACCUCAUAAUUUUACCAAAAUGUACGCCCUAAGAAAUAUAGUAUACCCAUCACCUCUCUCCCUCAACAUGUCCCCUGUAAUACUUUUUUGAUCAUAUUCAAUAUAACAAAUUAUUACAUUACCUUCGUCGUGUUCUUAACUAUAAUAUUAUAAUAAAUUAAAACAAAUUAUCUAUUAUAGUUACUCUAUUUAAUAUUAGGUAUGGAAGAUUAUUUCCGCCCUUAAAUUUCUAAUUAACAGUAUAUAUAUUUUACAGUAAAAUAUAUUGUAUAAGUGUAUAACAAUGUUAUAAACUUUGUUUAAACGAUAUUGCCGAAUAGUAUAAUAUAUGCAUAUUACUUCAGGUUUAAAUUUUGGCAGGUAGGUUUACAAAGUAUGCCUAUAAACUUUAUAGGGGAAUUAUUUACGUUUGCCCAUUAUUUAUUCGAAAACUUCUUUCAUGAACAAAAUGUAUACGGUUUUUGGAGAUAAAACGCAACAAUAAUUUAGGUAACCUACGGGUCUUGAUGAAUAUCAAACGUACCUAUACAUUUUUACAGGAAUUUUGUAUUACCUACGUGCAUCUAUAGGUAUAACCCAUCCAAAAGGUUGAAACGUACAAGUUGAAUUAAAUAAACUGACAAGAUACAUUUUCUUUACUGUUUUUCUUCCACCGUAUAUUGUUUACUUUAAAUAAGUCACUGUGUAUGCUUCCGCAUAUUUAUGUACCGUUAAAUUCUGAAGGAAAAAAAUCGACUAUAGUUCAUCCCGAACCUUCUAAUGUAUUGUUUAUAAGACUUGUAUACUAAGUAAAAAAAAAUCUGCACGAUAUAUGUCCCAUGCAUAUGAAACAAUUAUAAUAAUAUACACUAAGCCUUCGUUGUUUUUUUUUUUUUGUCAAAAGGAAAAAGUAAUAAUUCGUAAUUUAUUAGAGUCGACUGCUGUUACGCGUAUGUAAACGAAAUAAAUUUUAAUUUAUAAAAUAAAUUGUAUAACUGCUACUGUAAGAUUUCUGUAAAACAUUAUUAAAACAUUUGUAUUAUACUUUUACAGUUUCAUACGAGAAUUAUAUUAAAAAUAAUUAAAUACAUGUAUUAUAUAUAUUUUCAAAAGGAAAAUAUUUUUUAAAUAAUUAAGAAAAAUAUUGUAUUGAUCAAUAUUUCUAAUACAUAUUAAAUAGAACCAAUAUAGUAUCGGUCUGUACGAGUUUUCUACCAGAAAUUUGCUUUGGUCAAAAACGUUACACAGAUGAUCUGAAGAAUUUUGAGUCUAUAGCAAUUAUUGGUGCAUUUGACUAUUAGAGAGGUUGUUUUUAAAUUAAUUUUUCUUCUCCUAAUAACUAGGAAAACCAAAAAAAAAAGUCGAUAAAAUUAAAAAUAUUUACGUAACGCCACGCUGAUGGUUUUUGUGGAAAUUGAUCAUGUUGUAUUUUUUUUUAGAUUCGAAGUGUAGCAAAGAAUCUAAAACAUAGUUUAAAAAUUGAAGUAAUUAAACCGGGACGUUUAAUUAUUUAAAGUUUUGCAAACGAUGUCAUCUACCAAAAAUAAUGGUCCAAUUGAUAAAUGACAAGAAAUCGAUUUUGCUUUGUUUAAUAUCUAGUCACUGACAGAGAAAUUCAUUCUAAAGUAUCAUACCUAAAAAAUUAGGAAAACAAAAAAACUGUUUUUUUUCAACCUAUGCUCAAAGAUUUAAUUUAUUUAAAAUGUAUAAGACUAUGACAUUCUACCAAAAACCUUUGUUUGAAUUUCAAGAAUAACAUAUUUUCUGGAAGAAAAUGUUGUCUAGUUUUUGAGUAACAAAAAGUCGUUUGAUUUUGCGUAUAGUUAAAUUACGAAAAACUGGGAAAAAUCUUAGGAAAUAAAGGAAAGUGUACGAUAUUUAGGUUUUUUGUUAUUAUUCGGUUAAAAAAUAUUGUAGAAAUCUGCUGUUUUUAGAAAAUAUUUAUAUUGGCCUUUUGUAGAUGUAGUAAAAUUGUCAAAAUAUUCUGAUUAUUUUUUUAGGUAUCUGAUAUUUUCGUGUUUUUGUAUGUAUUUUUUUUUUUUUGGUAGUUAUAUAUUAUUCAAAUUAUAAAUGACUUAAGAGAAAUGCUUGCAAAUUCAACAGGAGGUUCCUUAUAAGUUGUACUUAGUGGUAAAAAAAAAGUUAAUUGUAGUAUAUAAGUUUUUUUAAUAAGAGUUUAAAAUUAAAGUUUGACGAAAAUUGUAUAAAUAUUAUGGCCUUUCAAAACAUGUAUAACCGAACUUCACUCCAAAUCAUUUUUAGUUCAUGGUCUGACGUUGCUUACAGAUAUAAACUAAAUUACUUUAUGUAUCUUACCUUUCCAACUUCCUACAACUACAAUGGUACACUUGUCCUCAGUAUAAGCUCUUUUUUUUGUAUCUGUAAACAUCUUUUUUAUUAGAAAUUUUGCUACAGUUAAAAACUUUUUAGCGUACAAAUAUAAAGUGCAAAAACAUCAGCAAUAUCAGACUUUUGUUGUUUACUUUUUAAAUUAAUACAGUUUGUGUAGCAUUAAUAAAUGAAAGGUUUCUCAUGAGUUUUUUUUUUACUGAAAUAUAAAAAUAUCGAAAAUAACGAAUUCACACAUUUUUUAGAUUUUUUAGAAGUGUUUGGAAAUGUAGAUUUCGAUGAAAGUCAUUUUGAUUUCAUACUUUUUUUUUGAAUUAUGAGAAUUUAAUCUUUUUCAAUUCCGUACAAAUCGUAAGUUGUGAUGGCUAAACAAAUUUUAACGUAAUUAAUUUAUAUACAUAAAGAGUUUUAUUUAUUUAUUUGUUUUAUUUUUUUUUUUGUAUUUUAUACGGCCUGAACUAUAAUAAGUUAUCGUUUUUCAGUAUUUGAUAGUAUAAUAUGUUGAUUAAUUAUUUUUUAUAUUAAAUCAUCCGAAUGAAAUAGUUUACCAUUAUGGAGAAUGUUUAAACAAUUGCAUUAUUGAACCAAUUUUUAAUCAAUGGAAAAGUAUAAUAUCUAAUCCUUCUUUUUCGUGUUACGGGUUUACUAUUAUUUUUAGGUAGAUCACAAAAUUAAUUCUGUUUUAUAGUAAAUAAACAAAAUACUUCUUUUGUAUAUCGAUCGUAAUUGAUCUAAUAUUAUUAAGUAUAUGAUAUGCAUAUGAAAUGAACGAUUUUCUAUAAAACUGUACAUUCACAAUACAACUUUGUAGCGUUGAACGGAGGAUUUUCUGAAAAUUGUCUAUUAUGGAUAGGUUUUCAUAAUAUAUUGAACAAACCCGAGGGAAGAGUGGAAACGUAAGCAGAGCUUUAAGCGGAAAAUAGGUAUCUAUACCUUUUCAUAAAUUUCAGUUUAAUUGGAAUGUUUGUAAAAAGUACUCAAAAAUAUAAUAUAAUAUAAUAAUAUAAUGUUUCAGAUAAUGUAAAUAAUAUAAUUUUGUACGGUUUCUCGUACUGUAUAAAUUCGAUGUUUUAUAGUUAUUAAACUACAGGAUUCUAUUUUUUUCAAUACUUUAAUACACACAAAUACAUUGUUUCCGAAUGCCGUUCAUUUGAAAUGGACAGAUAGGAAGCUGGUGUAUCAAAUAUUAUGGCAGAAGCGCUUCACCCAGACUAUUGUCUGAUAAGUCACAUGAUCAAUUUCAUUAUCAAGACCAACAUAAUCAAUAAUUUAUAAUCACUAACCUUUAUAUGUUAAACCCUUUGUAUGCCAAUGGCCAUAGUCGUCGAGGUUUAAUAUAAAAAAAAAAAAAAAAAAAAUACACACAAAUACUAACAAUUAUUCUUUUCACAUAAAAAAAUGAUUGUAUAAUAAAAUUUGCUCGGCGAUUUAAUUUUUAGUACAGUAUAAUAUUUUACUUCUGAAAAGAGCUUAAAUUCGACAUCAUAUUUAUAAAGAUUAUUGUUGUGAGCACUAAAAAUGAUUAAUCUUCUAACAGACCUAACGAAUUCCUAAAGAGUUUAAUCAAGUUGAAAUUCUUAGCUCGCAAAUAAAAAUAACGUUAGUUUAGGUUAUUGUAGGGAGAUGGAAAUCCCUAAAACUGCCGUUUCUUUAUAUCUAUGUGUGAAUAAUAACUACAAAUAUUAUUAUAAUCGUAGCCGGGCUCAAUACUGUUUGUGUAUGCGUAUUAUGUAGGUACCUAUACUUUAGGUUUAGUUCGAUAAAAAUAGUAAUAACAUAAUACAUAUGUAAGUGCGAAACAUUUUAGGGAUCGUGGUAAUAAUAUAUUAUUGUGUAUAUACCUAUAUCAACUAUAAAAUCGCUCGUCGUUAUAGGUUAAUAAUGUUGUACGUGUGUUAAUGCCCCUGUAUAAUAUAAUAUUAUGUUUCUGGGGCGAGGAUGUUAAUAAUAAUUGUGUGCAUAAAGCCAAUAACUAAAUACAACGACGACGUCGGUGAAGGAUAAGGAUAUGAAGUUUGGUAAAUAUAUGAACAUCACCUCGAACGUGUUUCGUUUAUUAAGCACUUAACGCUCAUUUAUAUAGUAAGCUAUAAGUAUUGUAAAACGUGACUCAUAAAAUAUUUAGUGAUAUAAUUCUGAAAUUCCUACGUACGCUUAAGUCAGUAACCUUGUUUUUAUAUUUUUAUUAAACGUUAGGCCAUUCAGUUGAUUUUGAUUCACUUGCGAGAGCUGUUUUGACUAAUCGCUUUCUCUAUAGAAAGCAUACUAUCUCAAUUAUAUUUGGAUACAUAAAAAAAAUGUAAAAAAAUACAAUUUUUACCUUUUUGUGUGAUAAUAAUCGAAUGCGAAAUAUGUAUCAUACAAUGAUUAUAAAGGUAUUGGUCAAAAUGUGUACUUUUUUAGUUCAUUAUUUUUUCUCUCUAGUUUUUAAUCCUCUAAUAAUAAGGUCCUUAGAUAUUUCUAUUUCAUAUUCAAUCCUCCAUUUUUCAAUACCCAUUGUUUUUCUCUUUAUAAUUCGAACUUUUACAGCAAGUAAUUUUAUAUCAUUUUUACAAUUCAUUUUCCCUUAUCGUUUAGAGCUUUUUUAGAGGUCCGCACGGAUUAUAUUCUACCAUCAUCGUUUUUGUUAGCUAAUUAUUUUGUCUUAAAAUAAUUUAUUUAAUGUAAAUAGAACUUUUUCGAUUGAAUGUUUAUUUUUAAUGUUUAACAUGGUCAAAAAAAUAGUAGAUUUGGACUUGUGGUUCAUUUUUAAACUUUACAUACACAGCUGUCUAGCGAUUCGUCGGUAUGAUAAUGCUACUUUAAAUAUUUAGUUAUAAUUCAGUGUGUUCUUGUAUGUUCGAAUAAUUAAUGUGUUUUUUUUUUUUAUAUAUAUAAUUUUUAGGUUGUAAAGUUAGAUAAAAUUGUAUUAGGAACUAUAUAUUUUUCAUUUAAUUAUUAUUUGUAUAUUUCACCUGUUAAAUUUCUAGGUGGUAUAAAUCUAUAGAUAUAUUUAUGACUAGUAGAACUAAUUAAUAAUAUAAUUGACCUACAUAGCUUUAAGUAUAUAUUAUUAUAAAAUAUAGUUUGUUUUUUUGUUUCAGGUGAGUGAAUCAAUACAAUAUUAUAUUAUGUUAUUUCCAUUUGAUAAAAUACGUAAGUACUGCACUUAGUGUACAUAAUCUUAAAAUAUAAGGCGAACAAAAUCAUUUAAACUUUGAACAUAGUGAGUAUUUUAAAUGUAAUGAAUGGCAUGUACUGUGUAACGUGUAAAAUGUAGGUCUAAUAAUAUAAUUAAUAAUUAACACCCAGUGUAUAAUAAGAAAAUACGGACAUACUUCGCACAAUGGGUGGGCCACUGCUGUAGAUGAGAAGAUGGGAAGGUAAGAUAUAGAAGGGAAUUUAAUGAAUACGCAAAUCUGUAAGCAAUGAUUAAUCAUUGUUAACAAAAAAUGAUUCGGUUAGACAUGAUUUGAGAAUCCGUAAUAUUUAUGAUUUGCCUCAAAAUUUGAAAUUAAAA